ACGGGGCGCGCUUCCUGGAGCACCUGCGGGUGGUCGAUCCGGUCCCGUUCCGGUUGGACCCGCGGCAGCGCUCCUCUCCGGCGAUGUCUCAGGUGGAUCCGAAGCGAGGCGUCCCGAUCUGCAACGCCACAGCUCUGGUCUGCUGUUGUGAUGGCCGAAGGAAGAGCAAGGAGGGGGAGGAGGGAUGGCAGAGGAGGUUAACAUCUAUAGCUUUUAUUAUGAAGCUAAGCUUCUAGACACACAUCUGAUCUGGUAGUUAUUUGUAUGAGUUGACAAGACAUUCGACAUGAAGCUAUUAGAAUACACCCCGUUCGACUGGUAUGACAUAUUUUCUUCUGUCUUGAACUCGUCGUGCUCCUGGUAACAUGGGAUUUCCUUGCUACUAAUGUAUCGUAUUGCAUAUG